AUAUGACCUCCUAUGCAUGGUGGGUGGUGGAAAGAUUUAUCGGUGCAGGAUGGGCCCGCGGCCUAUCAGCUUGUUGGUGGGGUAAUGGCCUACCAAGGCGACGACGGGUAGCCGACCUGAGAGGGUGACCGGCCACACUGGGACUGAGACACGGCCCAGACUCCUACGGGAGGCAGCAGUGGGGAAUAUUGCACAAUGGGCGAAAGCCUGAUGCAGCGACGCCGCGUGAGGGAUGACGGCCUUCGGGUUGUAAACCUCUUCAGCAGGGACGAAGCGCAAGUGACGGUACCUGCAGAAGAAGCACCGGCUAACUACGUGCCAGCAGCCGCGGUAAUACGUAGGGUGCAAGCGUUGUCCGGAAUUACUGGGCGUAAAGAGUUCGUAGGCGGUUUGUCGCGUCGUUUGUGAAAACCAGCAGCUCAACUGCUGGCUUGCAGGCGAUACGGGCAGACUUGAGUACUGCAGGGGAGACUGGAAUUCCUGGUGUAGCGGUGAAAUGCGCAGAUAUCAGGAGGAACACCGGUGGCGAAGGCGGGUCUCUGGGCAGUAACUGACCUGAGGAACGAAAGC
rnacentral:rRNA from 1 species